rnacentral:pre_miRNA from 1 species
UUAUUACUUUCUUCGUUCUGAAUUACUUGUCGCAGGUAUGGAUGUAUCUAGUUAUAUUUUAGUUCUAGAUACAUCCAUUUCAAGGACAAGUAAUUUGGAAUGGAGGGAGUAGUAG